AUGGACAAGUUCAAUGAGAUGACUGAUAUGGGUUUUCAGCCGGACACAACUGUUUAUCACUCCCUAAUUCAGGGUUUUUGUAUGCAUGGUGAUUUGGUUAAAGCUAAGGGGCUGGUUUCUGAAAUGAUGAACAAAGGUAUUCCUCGUCCUGACAUUGCGUUCUUCAAUUCAAUAAUAAACACUCUAUGCAAAGAAGGAGGAGUUAUGGAUGCACAAGAUGUCUUUGACUUGGUUACUGCCAUAGAUGAGAGGCCUAAUAUCAUUACAUUUAAUUCACUGAUUGAUGGAUAUUGCUUAGUUGGCGAGAUGGAUAAAGCAUUUGGAGUACUUGAUGCCAUGAAAUCAGUUGGUGCUGAGCCUGAUAUUGUUACAUACAACACGCUUGUUAAUGGCUAUUGUAGAAAUGGAAGGAUCGAUGAUGGUUUGACUCUGUUCAGGGAAAUGCCACAUAAGAGAAUAAAACCUGACACUGUUACAUAUGGCAUCAUACUAGAUGGGUUGUUUCAUGCUGCAAGAACUGUCGUUGCAAGGAAAAUGUUCCAUGAGAUGAUCGAAAGUGAAACGACAGUGGACAUUCCCGUAUACAAUAUAAUACUUAAAGGCCUUUGUAGAAAUAAUUGUGCAGACGAAGCGAUCGCCAUGUUCCAGAAAUUAGGUGCAAUGAAUGUGAAGUUUGAUAUUGGAACACUCAAUACCAUGAUUAAUUCAUUGUACAAGGUUGGAAGAAAAGAAGAAGCUAAGGAUUUGUUUGCUGCAAUAUCAGCCAGCAGGUUGGUGCCUAAUGCUUCUACUUACAGCAUAAUGAUAAUAAAUUAUCUGAAGGAAGGAUCAGUGGAAGAUGCUAAGCAUAUUUUUUUCAUCAAUGGACAAGAGUGGUAUAGCUCCCAGCUCUCGUCUUAUAAACUAUAUCAUCAGAAUGUUGUUUUUUUGAGAAAAUAUCAUCAGAAUGUUGUUGGAAAAAGG
rnacentral:rRNA from 1 species